rnacentral:rRNA from 1 species
AGUGAACGCUGGCGGUAUGCCUAACACAUGCAAGUCGAACGGCAGCACAGUAAGAGCUUGCUCUUACUGGUGGCGAGUGGCGGACGGGUGAGGAAUACAUCGGAAUCUACUUUUUCGUGGGGGAUAACGUAGGGAAACUUACGCUAAUACCGCAUACGACCUACGGGUGAAAGCAGGGGAUCUUCGGACCUUGCGCGAUUGAAUGAGCCGAUGUCGGAUUAGCUAGUUGGCGGGGUAAAGGCCCACCAAGGCGACGAUCCGUAGCUGGUCUGAGAGGAUGAUCAGCCACACUGGAACUGAGACACGGUCCAGACUCCUACGGGAGGCAGCAGUGGGGAAUAUUGGACAAUGGGCGAAAGCCUGAUCCAGCCAUACCGCGUGGGUGAAGAAGGCCUUCGGGUUGUAAAGCCCUUUUGUUGGGAAAGAAAAGAAGCAGGUUAAUACCCCGCUGUUCUGACGGUACCCAAAGAAUAAGCACCGGCUAACUUCGUG